UGAGUAAUAAAUUGGGGAAAAAAUGUGAAGCUCAUUUUCUAAAUCUUCAAUUAUUAAAUUAAAAUGCCAAAUAUUUA
rnacentral:ncRNA from 1 species